rfam:Ordospora colligata OC4 contig_01, whole genome shotgun sequence.
GCGUUGUUGGUCAAGUGGUAUGAUAACAGCCUUCCAAGCUGUCGGCCCGGGUUCGAUUCCCGGACAUCGCA